rnacentral:misc_RNA from 1 species
AGAAUCCUCAUCACUACUAUGGGCUCCAUUAUACUCGACGGAGGUCUUCUAAUAAUGCUGAGGCAUCAACUUCCCGUGGUGGGACCACUUCUUUUUAUGAUGAGCUGAUGUCUGCAAAGUCAGCUAGUAAAUGCAACUCGGAUUCUGGACAUGACACAGAGAGUAAACCUCAAAAACCAGAAAGUGUUGGCGUUGCGCCCAGUUUACUGGCAACAAAUGCAACGUCUUCCAACGUCACCAAGCAGUUUUGCGGAUUAUGUCAGAAGCCUUUGAGAAAGAAACACUAUAUGCUCGAUAGCAACAUACCUUCCUACGAGCCCUCUGUUGUGGCAGUUUUAGUUUGUGGUCAUCUUUACCAUGCUGAUUGUUUGGAGGAAAGAACUCAUCAUGACAAUGCAACAGAUCCUCCCUGCCCGAUCUGUCGUGGCAUCAAUUGAGUAGGUUUGCUUCUCUACCUGAAUGUAGAUAACCUCAGAUGCAG